AUUGAACGCUGGCGGCAUGCCUUACACAUGCAAGUCGAACGGCAGCACGGGAGCAAUCCUGGUGGCGAGUGGCGAACGGGUGAGUAAUAUAUCGGAACGUGCCCAGUCGUGGGGGAUAACGCAGCGAAAGCUGUGCUAAUACCGCAUACGAUCUAUGGAUGAAAGCGGGGGACUCGCAAGGGCCUCGCGCGAUUGGAGCGGCUGAUAUCAGAUUAGGUGGUUGGUGGGGUAAAGGCCUACCAAGCCUGCGAUCUGUAGCUGGUCUGAGAGGACGACCAGCCACACUGGAACUGAGAAACGGUCCAGACUCCUACGGGAGGCAGCAGUGGGGAAUUUUGGACAAUGGGCGCAAGCCUGAUCCAGCAAUGCCGCGUGCAGGAUGAAGGCCUUCGGGUUGUAAACUGCUUUUGUACGGAACGAAAAGGCUCUGGUGAAUACCUGGAGUUGAUGACGGUACCGUAAGAAUAAGGACCGGCUAACUACGUGCCAGCAGCCGCGGUAA
rnacentral:rRNA from 1 species